GGAAAUGGCAGCCCACUCCAGUAUUCGUGCCUGGAGAAUCCCGUGGACAGAGGAGCCUGGUGGGUCCUUGGGAUUGCAGAAGAGUCAGACAGAGCUGAGUGACUGAACAACAAGGUACGAAACACUGACAGUCCCCAAAUUAGUGUGUUAUUUGAAGUUUCAAGUCAGGUGUUUAGAAUUCUAUGGACACACUGUCUUCCCUGGUACUUGCCUCCUGGUCUGGCCACCAGGUAACUAUUUUCCACAGCAUCAUUGAGGAAUUGUGUAUUUACAAUAGAAAAUAAUGCCACAGAACAUCCAAUUUUCUUAACCACUUACAGUACAGGCACAGUUCACAGGACCCCAGUCGCCUAACCUGGGCUUAAGCUGCGUCUCCUCCGCUUUUUUUUUUUUCACCAGGCAAUUUGGAUUCUGUCCUCAGCCGCCCACUGGGCCCAGGGAAGGGUGUGAGAAUUGCAGGACCUAUUGUAAAGUGCAACACGGAUGGACCUAGAGAGUGUCAUACCAAGGGGGAAGAGGAGAUGGCAGAGGAGACACGUGUGCGUUGGAAUCAGAACUUUGCCACCUGGAGAGGAGGAAAGCGUUCCACAGUCAGGGCACUCCCAGCGCUUCAGGGCCACAGGCAGGCAGAGGAUGGUGAGCCGUGGCCAGUUAGGGAGGGGUGUGGGCCUCGGGACGCAGGUCGGGUCCUCCCACCCCCUCUACACCCUCCUCACCGGGCCACGGAGCAGGGCAGCUGGGAUGGCGAGGGGUGGGCGAGCCAGCAGGAGCGCGACAGGUUCCCUGGGCCCCCUCGGCCAGGACCUGCCCGGCCAACACUGGGCUCCCCGAGGAGGGGCCAGUGCCCCAGGCCUGGAGUGAGAAGUGGGGGGCUGUUGGCCCAGAGGCCCUAUGGGUCCCCGGUUCCGGGGUGACUAUGGUACAUGCAGAACCACCACUAACCCUCCCCUCACUCAUCGGUCCCAACUACUGAGUUGAGUCCUCAGAAAAGAGCUUUAGGACCUCCAG
ensembl:lncRNA